GGUGAGUACUAUGAUUAUUCUUGUCCCAGGCAUUUAAAGGAGUUGGUGCUGAAUCUCUGCAAACGAUAACUAAGAUGAUAAACCUUGAAGAGUUUGCUUAAGCCUGAAAGACACGAUGGGAUUCUACUUCCUAGCACACCUUAUUAUAUUGGCUAAGCUUUUCCUAAAGUUCUCAGCACUCAGGAAACCUUUAGCAUGCUACUUUAUGUGAAUCAUGACACCUGCGAGUUUUGAAAUGAAAGAUAGCCCCAAAUAUCCACAUCUUUCUUUGGGCUUUAAGGUCAUGACUCAAAACAGCACACCACCUCCCUGCUUUAUCUUUCCUUCUUUAUCUAAUUUGCCUGGCUUUUCCUUUUGUGCAGGAGCCGACUAGGUUGGGUGCUCCCAUAGGCUCUACCAAAAGGUAAGCAAAAAAGACACAUCGCUUUCCUACACUUGCUUUAGAUAUUGGGAAGAACUUGACUGCAAUUGAUUGCUUGCGAAUCGUUUGUGCACGUCAACUUUGUUCCCUUUGGUCGCCAUCUUGAAGAGUCGUGAGUAUGAGAGAAAUGUGCAUUUUCCUCUCGGUUAUUCUCUUCCAUGAAAUCUUCUUUUUUUUUUCUUUUUCUUUGUUGACCAUAUUAUUAAUUGAUGCGAGUUUAGCUGA